AGUGAACGCUGGCGGUAGGCCUAACACAUGCAAGUCGAACGGCAGCACAGUAAGAGCUUGCUCCUACGGGUGGCGAGUGGCGGACGGGUGAGGAAUACAUCGGAAUCUACUUUUUCGUGGGGGAUAACGUAGGGAAACUUACGCUAAUACCGCAUACGACCUACGGGUGAAAGCAGGGGAUCUUCGGACCUUGCGCGAUUGAAUGAGCCGAUGUCGGAUUAGCUAGUUGGCGGGGUAAAGGCCCACCAAGGCGACGAUCCGUAGCUGGUCUGAGAGGAUGAUCAGCCACACUGGAACUGAGACACGGUCCAGACUCCUACGGGAGGCAGCAGUGGGGAAUAUUGGACAAUGGGCGCAAGUCUGAUCCAGCCAUACCGCGUGGGUGAAGAAGGCCUUCGGGUUGUAAAGCCCUUUUGUUGGGAAAGAAAAGCAGCAGGUUAAUACCCCGCUGUUCUGACGGUACCCAAAGAAUAAGCACCGGCUAACUUCGUG
rnacentral:rRNA from 1 species